UACGGAGGGCGCGAGCGUUAAUCGGAAUUACUGGGCGUAAAGCGCGCGUAGGCUGUUGUGUAAGUUGGGGGUGAAAUCCCACGGCUCAACCGUGGAACAGCCCUUGAUACUGCGCGACUUGAAUCCGGGAGAGGGUGGCGGAAUUCCAGGUGUAGGAGUGAAAUCCGUAGAUAUCUGGAGGAACAUCAGUGGCGAAGGCGGCCACCUGGACCGGUAUUGACGCUGAGACGCGAAAGCGUGGGGAGCAAACAGG
rnacentral:rRNA from 1 species